rnacentral:rRNA from 1 species
UGGGGAAUAUUGGACAAUGGGGGCAACCCUGAUCCAGCCAUGCCGCGUGAGUGAUGAAGGCCUUCGGGUUGUAAAGCUCUUUUGGCGGGGACGAUGAUGACGGUACCCGCAGAAUAAGCCCCGGCUAACUUCGUGCCAGCAGCCGCGGUAAGACGAAGGGGGCUAGCGUUGUUCGGAAUUACUGGGCGUAAAGCGCGUGUAGGCGGUUGCCAAAGUCGGGUGUGAAAGCCUUGAGCUCAACUCAAGAAUAGCACUUGAUACUUGGUGGCUAGAGGACCGGAGAGGAUAGUGGAAUUCCCAGUGUAGUGGUGAAAUACGUAGAGAUUGGGAAGAACACCAGUGGCGAAGGCGGCUAUCUGGACGGUUACUGACGCUAAGACGCGAAAGCGUGGGGAGCAAACA